AGGUCAGGGCUGUGUGGAGCCCAAAGGGAGUCUGUGUGAUGGCAGGGAUUUGAGCCCCAGCAAGGCCCCAUCCUGGCACGGUCCUUCCGGUUCCCAGGGUGGCCACUGCAUGCCCCCUUAUGCCCCCUUCCUCCCUGCCCCAUCCAGGUGUGGAAGUACCCCAAAGUGUGGGAGGGCUUCAUCAAAUGCUGUCAACGCACCAAGCCCCAGAGCUUCCAGGUCAUCCUGCAGCUGCCACCCCAGCAGCUGGGCGCCGUGUUUGACAAGUGCCCAGAGCUCCGGGAGCCCCUGCUGGCCCAUGUCCGCUCCUUCACCCCCCAUCAGCAAGCACACAUCCCCAACUCCAUCAUGGCCAUCCUGGAGGCCAGUGG